rnacentral:rRNA from 1 species
UACGUAGGGUGCGAGCGUUGUCCGGAAUUAUUGGGCGUAAAGAGCUUGUAGGUGGCUCGUUGCGUCGGGAGUGAAAACCUGCGGCUUAACCGCAGGCCUGCUUCCGAUACGGGCGAGCUAGAGUUCGGCAGGGGAGACUGGAAUUCCUGGUGUAGCGGUGGAAUGCGCAGAUAUCAGGAGGAACACCGGUGGCGAAGGCGGGUCUCUGGGCCGAUACUGACACUGAGGAGCGAAAGCGUGGGGAGCGAACAGG